GUGGUGCACGCCUGUAGUCCCAGCUACUCAGGAGGCUGAGGUGAGAGGAUCAAUUGGGCCUGAGAGGUCAGGGGUGCAGUGAGCUGUGAGUGCACCACUGCACUCCAGCCUGGGUGACAGAGUAAGAUCUUGUCUCAAAA